AGGACGAACGCUGGCGGCGUGCUUAACACAUGCAAGUCGAACGGUAAGGCCCUUCGGGGUACACGAGUGGCGAACGGGUGAGUAACACGUGGGUGAUCUGCCCUGCACUUCGGGAUAAGCUUGGGAAACUGGGUCUAAUACCGGAUAUGACUACGAAUCGCAUGGUUUGUGGUGGAAAGCUUUUGCGGUGUGGGAUGGGCCCGCGGCCUAUCAGCUUGUUGGUGGGGUGAUGGCCUACCAAGGCGACGACGGGUA
rnacentral:rRNA from 1 species